UGCAAGAACUUGGUGCAUCUGCCCACCGAGGAAACCAUGCGAUGCCUCACCGAAUUGAAAACGGUGAUGAUAUAUGGUUGCCCCAAAUUUAACAAUCAGAUUGACCACAAUCCAUUUAUUCAAUUUCCCAAUUUGUACCCACAUUGCAAAGAUUUUGAAGACUAACUCAAGAAGCUGGCAGAAAGUUCGCAUCUGGGAAAAUAAUUAAGUUGAUGACAACUGUUGCAAAGGCACUUUAGGCACUAGGGACAGCAAUUCUCUUGUGUUCAGCUGGAUGAAAAAUUAAAUAUUAUGAUGUUUUAAUCCCCUCCCAAGCCAACAGAUGUUUUAGUUGAAAGCUGAUCCAUCUGCUCCCACACAUUGCCUCACCCAUUUUGGAGGUCCAAGAGUGUCCAUUACCAAUAGAUAGCUGGAUCAUUCAACUGGUAGCAACUGAAUUUUAUUUGAUGUCAUUGAAAGCCAAUAGUAUGUCCGUGUAAAACAGACUUCCUACUUUUUCUGUUCUCCAAAUCUUACUUUUUAUUUUAUAUAUAUAUGUGUGUGUGUGUAUAUAUUAUAGCAUCAAAUACCAAUUCUUCAACUUAUUCACAAAAUUUGGGCAUGAUGUGUCUGUAGGGUUAUUUGUUACUUGUUUCUUUUAAUUGAGAGAAUUUUGAAGUACUUCAACUAAUGCACCAAUAAGUUCAAGUACUUCAACUCUCUUGCUUGUGAAGGCUUAUCCCCCCGUCCACUGACAUCACAUAAUGCUUGAGAAUUGUAUUGUUUUCCCUAUUUAAUUCUAAUGCUUGCUUAAAUGUGCUGGAAAAAGUUAUACUAUGCAAGUGAUUGAUAUUUUAAAAUUUGCAAAUAUUAUAUUAUUCUAGGA